UUUUUUUGUUUUUUUUUUCUAUGUAAGAUACUAUAAAACACAUCUCAGUUUAGAAUCCUGGGCAUCUCAUCAUUUCCUUUCUUCCCAGAGGACUGAGAUUAAUAAUGGCCAAAAGAGCCCAUGUAUGUAGAGUGUAAGUUUUACUUUUCUGCUCCUAUGACUUCAUACCCUAGGUAAUACACCUCUGAAUAAAUGGCUGUCUCAUCAUCUCUAUCCUGGACCAUCAUGCAAACUCACUGUCCUAGUUUUAAUACACAUUCACCUUCAGCCUCCUACUUCUAAUGGGCUUGCCAGGCUGCCUCCCCUUUUAGAGUUUGCCCAAAGAAAAGGGCAAACUCCAAAAAAAAAAAAAAGAGAAACAUCAUCUCCAUAAACCAUUUAGUCAACUGGCUUCAUUACUAAAUGCUACGUUGUUUACCAAUAGCCUGGGGGUUUCCUCCCCUUAGAGAAGAGAAAAAACACCCUGGGCAAACAAGUGUUUCCGACACAAUAACUCUUUAAUCUCUGCUUCUAACUGGAAUGUGAUGGUCACACCUCUUUUGAAUUAUUCCCCACAUUGAGUUAACAGCCUCUCCAUUGUACACACCUCCAUUACUAUACUUUUUACCUUGAAUUUCAAUUAUUUUUUAAUUUAUCUCUUUUGUGAAACUAUGAGUGUCUAGUUUACAAGGAUAGCGACAUUUUUCUAUGCAGUUCUAUACCUACCAUUUAAAGGCAUCACCCUCAGUAAGUGUUUGUUAAAUAUUUGUUAGAUGAAUAAGAAUUGCAUGUUUAAUACCAGAGGCUACAAUUAUUUUGCAGCACCUUUUAAUAACUGACCACAGAAAAGUAUUUACUAAGAAGUUUCUAUCUAGAAGCACACACUAUAAAAUGGUUAAAUAUGGCCUUAUCUUUUAAUAACAUUAUAUAUAUAUCACUUCUAUGAUAAAUAAAAGCCAUUUGAGUUAUGUAUCACCAACCACAAGCAAACUUAAUAAAAGCCUCCAUAUAAGAUUAAGAACGUGAGCUAUGGCAUAAAAUCGGCUUCUUCAGAAGAAAGUAUUAAAAGUUUGGAGAUUAAAAAUAUAAUUUACCUUGAUAGUGGCCCCAAGACAGUACAGUUUAUGACCUAAUGAAGUAAGUACAAACAAGCACCUCUCAAGGUCUCCUUCCUCUGGCUUCGGAGGAUUUCUCCAACCAGAUCACAGCUCACAAUCCCAUCAAUGUGCUGUGUCAUUGCUAUAGCCCCACCUGCGCUCUUUCUUUAACUUUAGGCUUAGGUGACUUAAAUUUCAUUCAAGUCACAUGUGAGUAUGACCAUAUCUUCUUUGAGGUCCUAUCGCAUUUGUGUUGUAUAUACCCUUUAGGGUGUGCAGCCCACACUGAACCCUGACUACCUCAUCCUUAGACAGGGAUCACUACAGGAUCCCAUCCUUCAAGGCACAGCUGAUUAAAUUAGAAAGGGAUGUCAGUGACCAAACUGUUCAGGCUCUACCCAUACCACUCACCCUUACCACUUCAGUUUGCCCAACACCCAAGUGUCAGACUUAGCACAUUUUGCCUCAAGUCUCUCUCCAAAGCCGAAGAAGACCGUUCUCUCCAAGGACAGAGCAAGCCAGAAGUACUGUAGGAUUAUCACCCCCUAAUAACACCUUCAACCAAUGAUGAUGGGAGUUGAUGUGUAGUCAGUCCUUUGCCAGCUUGGAUGGAAUAACUGAGUGUAUGUUCUGCUGGGCAUUUUUCCAUUUCCCAGUGGAUUGCCCUCCGGUCACCCUUAGUCAGAGCCAGCUUAGUAACAUCCUAUAUUGGAUGCCUUAUCUUCCCCGUUCCACUUGCCCAUGUUCCUUUCUUACAUGCCCCCCCCCCCAUGUAAUACGUUUGCACUGAAACUCUUAUUUCAAGGUCUGCUUCUUUGAGAAUCCAAACUAAGUCUACACCCAAACCAAGGGAGCCAGUCAGAUUUUCUCGCCUGGGAUUUUGUAACUAAAAGCAAUGAAAUUUCACCUGGGAUGGUAUGAAAAUGUAUUCUUACUUUUUUUUAAAUUUUAGUCCAUUUCAGAGGGUCAGUUCCAUCCUUCAAUUCUAUUAUUCAUUUCUGUAUUUAUAUAACAAAUGUCUUUGGGUUUUAGCUAAGCAUAAAGUUGAGUUUUGUUACUUUGAACCAAAAUAUCUUAUUUUACCAUUUUUAUUAACUGAAAUAUCAUAUUUGAAAACAAGAUAGGACCCUUCAUCAAGUCCAACCUUCAUAUUGUAGAUAGAAAUACAAAAUGAAAAUAAUUGCCAGAGAUGCAAAGCCUUCCCUUUUUCUUUCUUCUAUCACCUUUCCCCAAACCUGGUACUGAAUACCAAAUGAAACUUCAUAUUUGAGAGCCUAUGUCCAUUCUUAGCUUCGUAUUAUCAUUCAUCUAUUCAUUCAACAAAUAUUUAUGGAAUGUUCACAUGCCAGUCAGUGAGUUAGGCACUUGAAAUAUAACACAGAGACUGAGGUAUAACACAGAGACUAAGAUUGCUCUUUCCAGGACUUCUCCUGUGGCACAGUAGGUUAAGGAUCCAACAUUGUCACUGCAGUGGCCUGGGUUGCUGCUGUGCUGCAGAUUUCAUCUCUGGCCCAGGAAUUCCCAUGUGCUGUGGGCAUGGCAAAACAACAACAACAACAAAAAAAGAUUGCUCAUUCCAAUAGUGUCCUUACAGAGGGGAAUGCAACAGUGAGUGCGCAAGUGCAACAGCACUUCUACGAUGGGAGAAGUACUGGGUCCUAUGAGAAUAGGUAGCAAGAAAUCGAACCAAGACCCAGGAUAUAUGGAAUAUUUUUUAGAGAAAAUGUUGGAAUGAAUGGCCCAUAUUUGAGGAGCACAUAACAAAUUCUCUCUUUCCCAGGACCUUCACAGACAUUCCAUUCCCUUCUCCAGGAACAGCCUCCUGUCCUGACUUGGCUUCCACUGCAUUAUCUGGCUAACUCCUGCAAAACCCAUUAAGACAGGGAUGGACUGCAUCUGUCUAUUCACCGCUGCAUCCUCAUACUAGCAAAGUGUCUGCUCUAAUACAGGAGCUUAAGAGGUAUUUGAAAGGUAAAGAAUAUUUAACCACACUGUAUGACAAUCAUUUUGUUUGCAUGACUAGGAGCUCCUUAAGGGCAGUAAUGGUGUUUCACUUUUUCACUCUGAACAAGACCUGCCUCUUCCUAUCUCUCUAAAUAAGCCCAGAUUUCUAAUAGUCUGCGAGUGUAUCACAAGCCCUUAGUGGUACCCACUUUCCAACUCUGGAGUUAAAUCAACUUCCCUUUACCUAUCUGCUUGCUUUUCACUCUUGGUGCUGAUGUUUCCUUCAACUGUCACCUCAUUUGGCCCCAUAUUCCCAUGAUCCCACUCUGCUCAGCCCCUCAGAUUGACAGGCCAGUUUAAACUCACUGCAAUUCUGAUUUUGUCCUCAGCGCCACCUCUGGGACACUAUUUCUCAUUUCUCGUUUUCCCCAUCUGCGACCACAUAAAUAGGAAAUACUUUGAGGGGCAUCUGCUCUCUAUCCUCCCUCUCACCUGGUCCCUCCAUCAUGAGAGAAAAGGGGUUAUUAGAUAAGCCUCCAGGUCAGUGUCAGGGCUACAGUAGUCAUCUCACUGAACUGAGGUUUUCAGAAUGAUUUUUUUUUCAAGUGACAUCAGUUUUCCGGUGGAAGUCACUGUAGGAAUAUUACUUGAUCUACAAAACCUGCUUCACAUAUUUUGUGAACUCUACCUGUAUCAUUUACCUUCUCAAAAAUACGUUACAGAAUUUAAGGAACUGUGCUUUUGCGGGGAUAAACUGUAUAAGCAACAAAUCUAGGGAAGAUUUUUAUUUUAUUCUAUAAUAUUCUACCAUGGAAAUUGACUUAGAUGCAUUCAUUAUAAAAUGUGCCUAGCUUACACUGACUGAAGAGACUACCUAGAGAGGCUGCAGUAUAUGCCAUUUUCAGUCAACACUACAAACCCACAAUUUCUUUUUACCUCACCAUUCUAUUGGCUCCCACGGGAGACACUGAGAGACCAUGAAAAAGAAGAAAAUUAAACUUACAGGAGGAAAUUUAAUUUUAAAACACAUCUUAGCACUCGGCUCUCUGUUGACAGUGUGUCGGGGGUGGUGAGGAUGAAUGUAUCUAGGUUUCCAGGAGCUAUACCCUGUCUGGCUCACACUGUAUUCUCUAAUGACUUUCCCUCCACCAUUUACCUCCAUCUUUACUUACCAAAAACCUACCUAUUCUUUCAUUUCAAAAGUCUCCACUUGUAAAAGACUUCGAAAACUCCCUCUCUUCCAUGUAGUUCCACAGUGGUUCUCAUCAAUCUUUCUGGGCACUUGCCAAUAGUAAUUUACAUUUACAUGUUGCUCAUUCUGUGCCAGGCACUGUUGUCAACACUUUAUUUAUCAUAACUCAUUUAAUCCUCACAACAACCAUAUCUGGUAGGUACUAUUGGUAACCCCAAUUUAUAGAUGAGGAAACUGAGGCACAGAGCAGUUAAGUAAGUUAUCCAAAUCAUAUGGUUAGAAAAGGGGAGCAGGAUCAAAGUUAAACGCAAGCAGUCGAACUCUGAAAUAUAUACUCUUGCCUGUUCUCCUAUAAUUUACUCUCAGACACUAGCUACUGGGAAUAGCAAGAUAGAUAAGACAUGACCCCUGGCACAGGGAUGUGACUAUAUGGUGUGGAGAUACACAAACUGACCAUUUCAAUAUGAAGUGCUAUGAAAGAGGUAUAUACCAGCUGUUACAGCACCACAGAGGAGGGGCACUGAGAGAAAGCCUAGAAGUUAGAGCAAGUAAAUCUUUUUUUCUGUUUUGUUUCUUUUUUGUUUCUUUUUUAGGGCCAUAUCUGCUGCAUAUGGAAGUUCCCAAGGUAGAGGUCAAAUCAGAGCUGCAGCUGCCAGCCUACACCACAGCCAUAGCAGUUCCAGAUCCAAGCAAGGUCUGCAACCUGCACCACAGCUCAUAGCAACACCGGAUCCCUAACCCACUGAGUGAGGCCAGGAAUCAAACUCAUGUCGCCAUGGAUACUAGUUGGGUUCAGUACCACUAAGCCACAACAGGAACUCCCAGAGAAGGUAAGUCGUAAGAAGGUGUUCCUAGAUGGCAAUCAGAUGAAGAAAGAUUUUCCAUUCAGAGAACAGCACAUAUAGAGUCAUCAAGACAUGAAACAGAGCAGUUUGAGCACUCAUUAAUUUAUUCAAAAAUUAUUAUUUCUUUAACAUCAGCUACAUGCUAAGCACUGUGCUCAAUGUGAAGUCCUGGGAGUGAUGGUAGCAAGGGAGAAAAGAAAGUGCGUCAAGCAGUUUAGUAUUACUGGUGCAUGAGAACUGGAAAUGUAAGCAGGGUCAAUUCAUGGAGU
rnacentral:lncRNA from 1 species